AUACAUGCUGGGUUACACAUGUACUAAACAGUCUGUCUAAUAUAUUUAAUGAAUGUGUGUGACAUAUUUCAUCUUUCUAAACAGCCAUAAAUGCGCAGUGAAAAUGGAGAAGGUGAAGCAAAAAGUACCACGCCACACUGAUAGGGGGCAGUGCUGAGCCCCAUCGGCACAGACAGCUAACAGCACGUCGCUACGAACUCUUCAGCUACGCAAAGGUCAGAGGUGUUUUCACCAGUCGAAACAGGAGGUUUUAGAGAGAGGAAGACCAACUCUGGAGCUGAAACAUCUGCUUCUAACAAGUUAGAGAGAGGUGACCCGCUCUUUCAACGGGAGUGGUCCACCUGAAAACAGUCCACGGGUUUGACCUGGCAUUGAAUGGGCAGCACAGACUGAACUUUAGGGUCCACAACUGGAAGAUGAGUGAGAACCGGGAGAUUUAAAAUGACUUGAUUAAUGCAACCUGCUUCCAUGGACUUCAUAUAGAAAUAAAGCUCAUCUGCUUCAAGGUUCCACCUGCUGCUGUUUCCUUUCCAUCAUCUGGAACCAGUCGGCCCAUUCUCCUCUGACCUCUGAGGCAUCUUCCUCUCUUCUCAGACCCUCCUCUACCAACCUGAGAGAAGUUGUGGGUUAAAAUCCCUGUAGAUCAGCAGGUUCUGGCACCAACAACCAUGCUCUGUUCAGAGUCACUUAAAUCUCAUUUCUUUCUCACUCCGAUGCUCAGUUUGAACUUCAGCAAGUCGUCUUCAUCACAUCUAGAUGCCUUCAUGCAUUAGAUCGCUGCCCUGUGAUUGGCUGAUUUGCUGUUUGUUUAACCAAGCAGUUGUACCUAAUAAAGUGGCCAGUAAGUGUUUAUAAACUCAUCGGUUCUUCGCAUACCUGCUGGGUCUUCUGUUGACCCUCUGCUCCAUGUCUCAGGUUCUGGUUCCACAUCAUGAAUCGUGUGUUGAUUGUUAGUUGAUGUCUCUGGUUUAGAGAAGCAGCUGAAAGCAACAUUUGGGACAGAGACAUUUCUAAUCUGACAAACUGACCCGUGUUCACCAUCUAACACCUUCCGUCAUGUGACCCAACAUCUCACCUUGUGGUUGGGUCAGAAACUACCAACAGGUGAAGAUGAGCUCAUUUCAGGAAGUUCUCUGUAUGUGACCUUAGUGAGCCUGAAGGUGUGAAGCAGCGUCAUACCAGGAACACCUUAGCAGAAACAAAACAGAGAACAUGAGCCCCUGACACAGAACACCUGCAGCAUCCAUCCACCAGAAACAGAGCUGAGGUUAGACCGUCAAAACUUUAAAUUAGGAGGAAAAUUUAGUGGAGGGAUCAAACAGGAAAAACCGAUGGACCAACUAAAACCAGUUUGAAUGAAAACUAAAAUGUUCUAGGUCAUAUGGAGGUAAAAUCCCAUAAACCUUUAGCAAAUCUUGAAGUUAAAGAUGAGCUUUAUUCUUCAUCUUUUAUUUUUGUAUCAAACAGUCUGAAUAAAAGCUUAAAAUUAUAUUGAAUUUUGACUCAAGUUUGGCAUUUACUUCAGGUUGGAUCUAUGAUGAAACAUAGCAGCAUCACCAGCAGGUCAGACGUUGAGAGCAAAACCAGAAAUUUAUUUAUUGAUUGAGCUUCAAAGCAUCACUGUGAGCGGAAAACAUCAAAUUCUGGACUGAAAAGGAAAAAAGCAGCCAGAGUCCCAAGAGAAACAAACUUAACUUUUAUUCUAGAGUAUGUUACAGAUACAGGAUGUUAUUAAUAUUAAAUUAGAGCAUUAGAUUAAUAAUGUUUAGUGAAUUAACCCUGUUAAAAUAAAUCAAUCAAUAUCUUGAUUCUGUAUUUAUUUGUCCA